rnacentral:rRNA from 1 species
UUGACCUCGAAUCAGGUAGGAAUACCCGCUGAACUUAAGCAUAUCAAUAAGCGGAGGAAAAGAAACCAACCGGGAUUACCUCAGUAACGGCGAGUGAAGCGGUAACAGCUCAAAUUUGAAAUCUGGCUCCUUCGGAGUCCGAGUUGUAAUUUGUAGAAGAUGCUUUGGGUUGUGGGCUCGGCCUAAGUUCCUUGGAACAGGACGUCAUAGAGGGUGAGAAUCCCGUAUGUGGCCAUGGCCCGCGCCUAUGUAAAGCUCUUUCGACGAGUCGAGUUGUUUGGGAAUGCAGCUCAAAAUGGGUGGUAAAUUUCAUCUAAAGCUAAAUAUGGGCCAGAGACCGAUAGCGCACAAGUAGAGUGAUCGAAAGAUGAAAAGCACUUUGGAAAGAGAGUUAAACAGUACGUGAAAUUGUUGAAAGGGAAGCGCUUGCAACCAGACUUGGGCGCUGCCGAUCACCCCGAGUUCUCUCGGGUGCACUCGACAGCGCACAGGCCAGCAUCGGUUCGGGUGGCUGGAUAAAGGCCGUAGGAAUGUAGCUCUCUUCGGGGAGUGUUAUAGCCCACGGUGCCAUGCAGCCCAGCCGGACCGAGGACCGCGCCUUCGGGCUAGGAUGCUGGCGUAAUGGUUGUAAGCGACCC